AGAGUUUGAUCCUGGCUCAGAACGAACGCUUGCGGCGCGCCUAAUACAUGCAAGUCGAACGAGGUAGCAAUACCUAGUGGCGCACGGGUGAGUAACGCGUGGAUAAUCUGCCCUUCAGUGGGGAAUAACUAUCCGAAAGGAUAGCUAAUACCGCAUGAGGCCACAGUUCCUGCGGGAACCGAGGUUAAAGAUUUAUCGCUGAAGGAUGAGUCUGCGUGGGAUUAGCUAGUUGGUGGGGUAAUGGCCUACCAAGGCGACGAUCUCUAGCUGGUCUGAGAGGAUGGCCAGCCACACUGGAACUGAGACACGGUCCAGACUCCUACGGGAGGCAGCAGUAGGGAAUAUUGCACAAUGGGGGAAACCCUGAUGCAGCGACGCCGCGUGAGUGACGAAGGCCUUAGGGUCGUAAAGCUCUGUUGUACGGGAAGAAAAAAAUGACGGUACCGUAUAAGAAAGGACCGGCUAACUUCGUGCCAGCAGCCGCGGUAAUACGAGGGGUCCUAGCGUUGUUCGGAAUCAUUGGGCGUAAAGCGUGUGUAGGCGGCCAAACAAGUCAGUUGUGAAAGCCCCGGGCUUAACCCGGGAAGUGCUUCUGAUACUGUUUGGCUUGAGUACUGGAGAGGAUAGUAGAAUUCCUGGUGUAGUGGUGAAAUACGUAGAUAUCAGGAGGAAUACCGGUGGCGAAGGCGGCUAUCUGGCCAUGUACUGACGCUGAGACACGAAAGCGUGGGGAGCAAACAGGAUUAGAUACCCUAGUAGUCC
rnacentral:rRNA from 1 species